rnacentral:rRNA from 1 species
UACGUAGGGUGCGAGCGUUAAUCGGAAUUACUGGGCGUAAAGGGCCAGUAGGCGGCCAACUAAGUCGGAUGUGAAAUCCCCAGGCUUAACCUGGGAACUGCAUCCGAUACUGGAUGGCUUGAAUUCGGGAGAGGGAUGCAGAAUUCCAGGUGUAGCGGUGAAAUGCGUAGAUAUCUGGAGGAAUACCGGUGGCGAAGGCGGCAUCCUGGACCGACAUUGACGCUGAACGGCGAAAGCUAGGGGAGCAAACGGG